GGGGUUGUGGCUCAGUGACAGAGCGCUUGCCUCGCAUGUAUGAGGCACUGGGUUUGAUCCUCAGCACCACA
rnacentral:tRNA from 1 species